rnacentral:lncRNA from 1 species
UGGCAAUAUUUUUCAUAAAUUUAUAGUUACACUUACCCUAAGACUAAAUAAUUCUACUCCUAGGUAUUUAUACAAGAGUAAUAGAAACAUGUUCAUCCAAGAUUUGUAGAAGAAUCUUCACUGAAGCUGUAGUCAUAAUAGGGCAGAAAUAGCAACAACACACACAUUCACAUCAAGAGUAGAAAUGACCAGCAAAUUGGACUAUAUUCAUACAAUGGGAAAUGACCAGAGGAAGCUGGAGCAGGCUCAUGCUGGCUCAGAAGAGCUCACUGUGCAAUUUUCAGGAAUUUUUCAAAAUGACUGAUGACAUGUUGGUAGCUUGAAAUUUGCUGCUUUCAGAGUGUUUACAUCAGGCUACCAUUCAGAAUUUCUUGUUUUGUUUGUCUUAGGGAUUUUGUUUUGGGGAUUUUUUGAAAUCUAGCUUAAACAUUUAAACAUUUAUCAAUGCAUCACUAAAUACAACACAAAAAUAAAGUAACAAACGACUAGUAUUCUAAAAAUAUGGUUGAAUAUCAAAAGCUCUAUGCUGAGUAAAUAAAGCCAGACAUAGAAGAGCACCAAUUUUAUUCAUAUGGUAUCCAUAGAAAAAGCUCCAGAACAGGAAAAUUUAAUCUAUGGUAAAAAAAAUUAGAACACUGGUUGUCUCCAGAGUCAGUUCAGGAACUCUCUGGGAUAAUGAAAGUGUGCCAUUUAUUUAUUUAUUUAUUUAUUUAGGUCUCUUUAGGGCCGCAUUGGCAGCAUAUGGAAGGUUCCAAGCUAGGGGUCAAAUCGGAGCAGUAGCCGCUGGCCUAUGCCACAGCCAUAGCAACAUGGGAUCUACGCUGUGUCUGCCACCUACACCACAGCUCAUGGCAGUGCCAGAUCCUUAACCCACUGGCCAGGGACUGAACCUGUGUCCUUGUGGUUACUAGUCAGAUUCGUUUCCACUGAACCACUAUGGAAACUCCAAAUGUGUUAUUCUUGAUGUCAAUCUUAGCUAUACAGAGAUAUACAUUUCUCAAAAUUCUUUGAUAACAUUCCUCUCACUUUUAUUGUGAACCUAAACUGCUCGAAAAUAAUUGUCUUUAAAAACACAUUGAGGGAUUGUAAAUUGUUGCAACCACUGUGGAAAGCAUACGGAGGUUCCUCAGAAAACUAAAAAUAGAACUAACGUUUGAUCCAGCAAUCCCACUCCUGGGCAUCUACCCAGAGAAAACCACGACUCGCAAAGACACAUGUACUCCGUGAUCACUGCAGCACUAUUUGCAGUAGCCAAAACAUGGAAACAACCUAAAUGUCCAUCAACAGAGGAGUGGAUCAAGAAGAUGUGGUACAUAUACACAAUGGAAUAUUACUCAGCCAUUAAAAAGAAUGAAAUACCGGCAUUUUUAGCAACAUGGAUGAAACUAGAAACUAUCAUGCUAAGUGAGGUCAGUCAUACAAUGAGACACCAACAUCAAAUGCUUUCACUGACAUGUGGAAUCUGAAAAAAGGACAGACUGAACUUCUUUGCAGAACAGAUGCUGACUCACAGACAUUGAAAAACUUAUGGUCUCUGAAGGAGACAGUUUGGGGGUGGGGAGAUGUGCUUGGGCUGUGGGAUGGAAAUCCUGUGAAAUCAGUUUGCUAUGAUCAUUAUACAACUACAGAUGUGAUAAAUUCAUUUGAGUAAUAAAAAAAGAAAAAAAAGAAAAACACAUUGAGCCCCAAAACAACAACAAAAAAACCCCAACACAUUGAAAAGAUUCUUAUGUGAGAAAAAGAAUGUGUGUGUAUAUAUGUAUAUGUAUAUAUACAUGUGUGUCUGUGUAUGACUGAGUCACUUUGCUGUAAAGCCGAAAUUACAGAACAUUAUAUAUCAACUAUAAUAGAAAAAAUAAAAAUCUUUAAAAAAAAGAAAAGGCACCUGUGCAGUUUGCUGUACACAAACUAUAUCUCAAUAAAAUAUAAUGCACAAAAGUAUAUGUUGGAAUUCAAUAAACUAUAAAUAAAACAGAUCAACAAUAAACUGAAUAAAACAGCCAAGGCAGUGACUUACUUACGAAGUAGCACUCGCCUACUAUUUCUACUGCUGCUGCUGCUAUUAUCACUACUACUGCUAUGAUUCCACUGUAUUGGAUAUGAUAAAUCAUGUCUGAUGGCACAGAUUUCCUCAUAUAAGAUUUAAAAAGAAAAGUAUGGACCAAUAAGCCAGCUGACCUAUGUGACUCUUACCAAUAUAUUAGCAUAUUUUUGGAUAGAAGUACUUUUUUCCCUUUGUUUUUCGCAGUACCAUCUUUAGUCUAAAACUUGACACAUUAUGUAAUAUGCAGACUGCCUUUACAGGCCAAAGUCAUGAAAUGAGAAUUCGGAACAAUGAGAAAAUUUUGGUCUUUUUUUUUUUUUGCUUUUUUAAAUCUAAUUGUUUAGAAUAUAUCUCACUGAAAUUCAUAUCAAAACAAUUUUUCAUUUCUCCUGUCUAACAGCACACGGUUUACACCUCAAUCUAGCAUUCCUUUUAUUUUGCUCUGUUUUAUGGGCACUUUAUAACCUAUUUUAUAUCUCCAUGAAAUCAGUUGCACCUUCAGGGCAAGGACAAUGACCCGUUCUUACUUGUGUCUCCAAGCACACAUAACAUACGGGUUUAUACAGGAUUCAGGGGCCACUCAAUGCCUGAUAAAUUGACUUGAUUUCUUUGCAGAAACAUUGUCUAUGACAUCAGUAACAUUCCUGCAUAGCAGAGGCUUUAGCCAUCACUUUAUAUGGUAUCAACUAAUGCAGGCUUAUCAAAUAGAACAUAAACCUCUAUUUCUUCCCAAGUAUAUUCUAGUAAACUUCCACCAUUCUUGGAUAUCAAAGACAGCAACAACAAGAAAUGAACAGUUUCUAUUUUCAGGGGAAUCAGAGAAAGGAAAGAAGAGGAGAGAAGAUUUUGACUAACCUUAGUUAAGAAACUGCUAUGUGCUAGACAUUAUGUGCAUCAGCAUUUUUAAUUUUCACAGCAAGCCUGUUAGUAGUCUAAUUUGGAUGUGAGCAAAACUGAGUUUCUGAUAGUCUCCUGCUCAUGCUUACAAAGCUGUUAGGUCAAAGAAACCUGUUCUCUCUGUAACUUCAUGUUAUUUUCACUACAAAAAAGAACUUCACAAAAACGUACCGAUAAAAGUUUGUUACCCUGAUCGCAUUAAUGCUACCAAUGCUACAGGCUUUAGUAGAAUGGCAAAUGUUUAAGUUUCUAAAUACAGUUAUGUCAAGGUGUUUUCGAGCUUCUGUUGAAGAGGAAAAAUAAAAAUGAGAUUUUUUUACCAUCUAAUAACUAUAAUGCAAAACAAAAAUUGUAUACAUAUAAAAACAUUAAUGGAAAGGAGAAAAAUCAAGCAGAGAAAAAAAGAACAUUUCCUGAAUAAGGUAAAAUAUCAGAAGAAAAACGAAUAAAUAUCUAGAUAACAUAUUCCUUUCUAUUAUAUCUAUGAUUCUAGUUAAUCACAAUUGAUUAGAGUUCCCUUGUGGCACUGAGCAUGUUAUGGAUCCAGCGUUGUCACUGCAGCAGCUCAGGUCACUGCUGUGGCACAAGUUCGAUUCUGACCCAGGAAUUUCCACACACUGUGGACGUGGCCAAAAAAAAAAAAAAAAA